AGGACGAACGCUGGCGGCGUGCUUCAUACAUGCAAGUCGAACGAGAAGCUGACUUCGGUCAGUGGAAAGUGGCGGACGGGUGAGUAAUGUGUAGAGAAUCUGCCCCAGAGCGGGGGAUAGCCUUCGGAAACGAGGAUUAAUACCCCAUAUGAGCGUAGCUGAAAUGCUAUUCUUGAAAACUCCGGUGCUCUGGGAUGAGUCUGCAUCUGAUUAGCUAGUAGGCGGUGUAAUGGACCACCUAGGCGACGAUCAGUAGCUGGUUUGAGAGGAUGAUCAGCCACAAUGGGACUGAGACACGGCCCAUACUCCUACGGGAGGCAGCAGUAGGGAAUUUUGCGCAAUGGGGGAAACCCUGACGCCAGCAACGCCGCGUGAAUGAAGAAGCCCUUCGGGGUGUAAAGUUCUGUCAGUGGGGACGAAACUUGACGGUACCCACAGAGGAAGCAUCGGCUAACUCCGUGCCAGCAGCGGC
rnacentral:rRNA from 1 species